UGGUUCUGGCAUCGAUGAAGAACGCAGCGAAAUGCGAUAAGUAAUGUGAAUUGCAGAAUUCAGUGAAUCAUCGAAUCUUUGAACGCACAUUGCGCCCGCCAGUAUUCUGGCGGGCAUGCCUGUUCGAGCGUCAUUUCAACCCUCAAGUCACCUGUGACUUGGUGUUGGGGCUCUCUGCGAUAGGGCUUAACCGCCUGCGCAGGCCCUGAAAAUUGUCGGCGGACCUGUGAGGAAUCCUGAGCGCAGUAAAAUAACUCUCGCUUCUGGUGAUUUACAGCGUCCAGCCCACCUACAACUUACCUAAGUUUGACCUCGGAUCAGGUAGGAAUACCCGCUGA
rnacentral:misc_RNA from 1 species